GGUGGUAUAGCUCAGUGGUAGAGUGCAUGCUUAGCAUGCAUGAAUUUGUGAAGCCCUGGGUUCAGUCCUCAGCAGUCCCU
rfam:Ictidomys tridecemlineatus contig057184, whole genome shotgun sequence.